rnacentral:rRNA from 1 species
ACUCCUACGGGAGGCAGCAGUGGGAAGUAUUGCACAAUGGGGAAACCCUGAUGCAGCCAUGCCGCGUGUGUGAAGAAGGCCUUCGGUUGUAAAGCACUUUCAGUAGGGAGGAAGGUAGUGUAGUUAACACCUGCAUUAUUUGACGUUACCUACAGAAGAAGCACCGGCUAACUCCGUGCCAGCAGCCGCGGUAAUACGGAGGGUGCGAGCGUUAAUCGGAAUUACUGGGCGUAAAGCGCAUGCAGGCGGCUUGUUAAGUCAGAUGUGAAAGCCCGGGGGCUUAACCUCGGAAUUGCAUUUGAAACUGGCAGGCUAGAGUCUUGUAGAGGGGGUAGAAUUUCAGGUGUAGCGGUGAAAUGCGUAGAGAUCUGAAGGAAUACCAGUGGCGAAGGCGGCCCCCUGGACAAAGACUGACGCUCAGAUGCGAAAGCGUGGGGAGCGAAACAGGAUUAGAUACCCUGGUAGCAC